rnacentral:rRNA from 1 species
CCCUUAGAUGUUCUGGGCCGCACGCGCGCUACACUGAUGCAUUCAACGAGCCUAUCCUUGACCGACAGGUCCGGGUAUUCUUUGAAUCUGCAUCGUGACGGGGAUAGAUUAUUGCAAUUAUUAAUCUUCAACGAGGAAUGCCUAGUAGGCGCAAGUCAUCAGCUUGCGUCGAUUACGUCCCUGCCCUUUGUACACACCGCCCGUCGCUCCUACCGAUUGGGUGUGCUGGUGAAAUGUUCGGAUCGGCCGUUUGUCGCGGUUUCCGCGUCAUGUGGCUGAGAAGUUCAUUAAACCCUCCCACCUAGAGGAAGGAGAAGUCGUAACA